CGGAGCGUGGCUCAGCCCGGUAGAGCGCUUGGUUUGGGGCCAAGAUGUCGCAGGUUCAAAUCCUGUCGCUCCGACCA
rnacentral:tRNA from 1 species